UAGGGAAUCUUCGGCAAUGGACGAAAGUCUGACCGAGCAACGCCGCGUGAGUGAAGAAGGUUUUCGGAUCGUAAAACUCUGUUGUUAGAGAAGAACAAGGACGUUAGUAACUGACCUUCCCCUGACGGUAUCUAACCAGAAAGCCACGGCUAACUACGUGCCAGCAGCCGCGGUAAUACGUAGGUGGCAAGCGUUGUCCGGAUUUAUUGGGCGUAAAGCGAGCGCAGGCGGUUUCUUAAGUCUGAUGUGAAAGCCCCCGGCUCAACCGGGGAGGGUCAUUGGAAACUGGGAGACUUGAGUGCAGAAGAGGAGAGUGGAAUUCCAUGUGUAGCGGUGAAAUGCGUAGAUAUAUGGAGGAACACCAGUGGCGAAGGCGGCUCUCUGGUCUGUAACUGACGCUGAGGCUCGAAAGCGUGGGGAGCAAACAGG
rnacentral:rRNA from 1 species